GAUGAACGCUAGCGACAGGCUUAACACAUGCAAGUCGAGGGGCAGCACAGGUAGCAAUACCGGGUGGCGACCGGCGCACGGGUGAGUAACGCGUAUGCAACUUACCUAUCAGAGGGGGAUAACCCGGCGAAAGUCGGACUAAUACCGCAUGAAGCAGGGGUCCCGCAUGGGGAUAUUUGCUAAAGAUUCAUCGCUGAUAGAUAGGCAUGCGUUCCAUUAGGCAGUUGGCGGGGUAACGGCCCACCAAACCGACGAUGGAUAGGGGUUCUGAGAGGAAGGUCCCCCACAUUGGUACUGAGACACGGACCAAACUCAUACGGGAGGCAGCAGUGAGGAAUAUUGGUCAAUGGCCGAGAGGCUGAACCAGCCAAGUCGCGUGAGGGAUGAAGGUUCUAUGGAUCGUAAACCUCUUUUAUAAGGGAAUAAAGUGCGGGACGUGUCCCGUUUUGUAUGUACCUUAUGAAUAAGGAUCGGCUAACUCCGUG
rnacentral:rRNA from 1 species